GACGGAGGGUGCAAGCGUUGUUCGGAAUUACUGGGCGUAAAGCGUACGUAGGCGGCGGGUUAAGUCGAAUGUUAAAGCCUGGGGCUCAACCCCAGAGAUGCACUCGAUACUGGCCUGCUAGAGGGUGAUAGAGGAAAGCGGAAUUCCCAGUGUAGCGGUGAAAUGCGUAGAUAUUGGGAGGAACAUCAGUAGCGAAGGCGGCUUUCUGGGUCACACCUGACGCUGAGGUACGAAAGCGUGGGGAGCAAACGGG
rnacentral:rRNA from 1 species